rnacentral:rRNA from 2 species
GUGCGAGACCGAUAGCGAACAAGUACCGUGAGGAAAAGAUGAAAAGAACUUUGAAAAGAGAGUUAAAGAGCACCUGAAACUGCUGAAAGGGAACCGGAUCGUUUCCAGUGUCUAUAAUCUGCGGUAUAUUUCAUUGGCGAGUGUGUGUAUGCGUGUGCUAUGGCAGCGGCUUUUUUGGCUGCGCUUUGUGCGUGUGUGUAUGUGCUUGCUGGUGCCCUGUGCUGUGGUGGGACGUCAAUGUCAGUUCGUAUACUGUGGGAAAUGGCUGCCGAGGAGGUAGGGCUUGCGCUUGCGUUUGUCUAUUAUAUCUUGGUGGACUUAGUAGUCACGGUUGGGACUGAGGUGCCUACAACGUGUUUUUGAGUGGGUGUGUAUCUCCGUGUGCACUAUGUGCGGGAUAGCUUGCUAUGUGUGUGUAGUUGUGUGUAGAUUGAUGCGUGCUUUAACUUGUUGCUGUUCGGGACUUUG